CCUACGGGUGGCAGCAGUGAGGAAUAUUGGUCAAUGGGCGCAAGCCUGAACCAGCCAAGUCGCGUGAGGGAUGACGGUCCUAUGGAUUGUAAACCUCUUUUGUCGGGGAGCAAGGCCCGCCACGUGUGGCGGGAAGGAGAGUACCCGAGGAAAAAGCAUCGGCUAACUCCGUGCCAGCAGCCGCGGUAAGACGGAGGAUGCGAGCGUUAUCCGGAUUUAGGGGGUUUAAAGGGUGCGGCGGCGGAAGGGUCAGUCAGCGGUAAAAGGUCGGUGCUCAACACCGGCCUGCCGUUGAAACUGGUCUGCUUGAGUGAGCGAGAAGUAUGCGGAAUGCGUGGUGUAGCGGUGAAAUGCAUAGAUAUCACGCAGAACUCCGAUUGCGAAGGCAGCAUACCGGAGCUCAACUGACGCUGAGGCACGAAAGCGUGGGGAUCGAACAGGAUUAGAUACCCUAGUAGUC
rnacentral:rRNA from 1 species